UAAGCAGGUAGGGAGUGUGGAGCUGGGGGAAGGGUGCAGUUAGGGGUUGUGAUGAGCACCAAGUUGUUAUGCCACUCUCUAUGAUUAAACAUAGCAAAACUGAUAUAAAAAUUGUCGGAACAGAAGAGGUUACAAAAUGCUGCAGAUAAUGCCUGCCAAACUUGCAGCUCUUAAAGGAGGUACACCGAUAGACACAUGUUUUGUUGUCUUUUAAAUGAUUCUACUCUUUCCUCCUUGUCAAUGUUCCUCUAAACAACAACGACAUCUUGUGGUGGUCAAUGAACCCUGCAAAGAAAAAUAUAACUAGAUACACAGUUUUUACCUGAAUACUAAGGAGCAGAUUUAUCAAAAUUUAAGAAUUUCUUGAGUUGCAAAAAAACAAGACUGCCAAUUUUUUUUAAAUGUGAAUAAUAGCUGUUAUUAAAAUAUAACAUGUAAAAAAAUAGCAUUUAAAAAAACUGGCAAAUUCUUACAAGUCCUAUAUUGCUAGCAUUGUUAUUUACGCAUCACUUCAAUUAAUAUGUUAUUCCUGUGACACAAACAUUUACAAGAACAUGCACAUUUUCUUCUUUCAUAAAUAAAGCUUGUGAGCCU